rnacentral:lncRNA from 1 species
UCACAAGAGAGCAGCUAGGGAGAGCCUGGAGUACAAAUGAUCUCCACCAUCUGCCCAUCACAGGACCUGAAAUUCCUCCUGUGAGGCAUUAUUUCCACAGGGUACUAUCCUGCCUCCCCCAUGGGGCUGUGGGGCGAUACUUCUAAGAAGAUGCUCGAGGCCAGGCGCCAUGGCUCACACCUGCAAUCCCAGCACUUCGAGAGUCCAAGGCAUGGAGACAUCAGGAUGAUGAGGAUGGCACCGCCAGUGAGUGAUGAAACCACAGGCCCUACUUAAACAUCUCUUCCCUAAUCUUCA